rnacentral:snoRNA from 1 species
AAGUCAACCAGUGAAUCUGCUUAUCUGAAUGUGUUUCUGCAGAAAUUUAGACAAAGCUGGCAAUAGUAAUGCCAUGGUAGGAGCCUUGAGGACAAUCAAAGUCAUUAAGGUCCCUGAAAAUGGCUACAACA